rnacentral:rRNA from 1 species
UGAACGCUGGCGGUAUGCUUUACACAUGCAAGUCGUACGAGAGUUUUUAACUCAAGUGGCGGACGGGUGAGUAACACGUAAGAAUUUGCCUUUAGGAGGGGGACAACAACUGGAAACGGUUGCUAAUACCCCAUAUGCUUUCGAGUGAAACGGAUUUCCGCCUAAAGAGAAGCUUGCGGCUGAUUAGCUUGUUGGUAAGGUAAUGGCUUACCAAGGCGACGAUCAGUAUCUGGUUUGAGAGGACGAUCAGACACACUGGAACUGAGACACGGUCCAGACUCCUACGGGAGGCAGCAGUGGGGAAUUUUCCGCAAUGGGCGAAAGCCUGACGGAGCAAUACCGCGUGAGGGAUGACGGCCUAUGGGUUGUAAACCUCUUUUUUCAGGGAGGAACAAAAUGACGUGUACCUGAAGAAUAAGCAUCGGCUAACUCCGUGCCAGCAGCCGCGGUAAG